GACGAACGCUGGCGGCGUGCUUAACACAUGCAAGUCGAACGGAAAGGCCCUGCUUUUGUGGGGUGCUCGAGUGGCGAACGGGUGAGUAACACGUGAGUAACCUGCCCUUGACUUUGGGAUAACUUCAGGAAACUGGGGCUAAUACCGGAUAGGAGCUCCUGCUGCAUGGUGGGGGUUGGAAAGUUUCGGCGGUUGGGGAUGGACUCGCGGCUUAUCAGCUUGUUGGUGGGGUAGUGGCUUACCAAGGCUUUGCCGGGUAGCCGGCCUGAGAGGGUGACCGGCCACAUUGGGACUGAGAGACGGCCCAGACUCCUACGGGAGGCAGCAGUGGAGAAUAUUGCACAAUGGGCGGAAGCCUGAUGCAGCAACGCCGCGUGCGGGAUGACGGCCUUCGGGUUGUAAACCGCUUUCGCCUGUGACGAAGCGUGAGUGACGGUAAUGGGUAAAGAAGCACCGGCUAACUACGUG
rnacentral:rRNA from 1 species